GGGGGGUGGUGGGUGAGAGGAAGAAGAUCCUUUUGAAAAUGGUAGUCCGUCUAUCUUGGAAUGGUUUAAAAUUAUAAUCUCAUCUAUAAAAGCCCAGAUUGGAAGAAAUGUAUUAUGUGGGCUAAAUUAAACUUUUGCCUCCAACUAGCAUGGGGCAAUUACAAUAAGGGAUCACGUGAAGUUCACUGCUGUUGAAUGCAACACGAUUUGUGACCAUCAACUACAGUAGAGUGGGGGAAGGGGGGGUGGGGGGGGAAGCAUCAUUUAUAAAUAAUGGGUCCCAAGUCUGACUUGGGGGUGAGUGGAGAGCAUUUGGCAUCUCAAAUUACUUUAACUGGGGGCCUUCAUAUCCCAAGGAAAGGACACUUUGUCCCCCUCCACCGUCUCUAAUCCUCCCUUCUUAAAGGAACACUCAGCAAGAUAAUGAAUCCUUUAAAUGUUACAUCUUCUGUCGUGCAUUAUUGUGGUGCAGAAACUCUUCACAUCAAACAGUCAUCAGGACUAUUACAAAGUGGGCUUAUAAGAGAGGGGCUGAAAAGGAGCUGUGUGAAAAGAAGUGGAAAAUUAAAGCUGAAGCAGUCGAAGAAAGGGCUUAAUUUACUGGCAUGUACAGUAUGCAAAUGAGAUUACUCUCAGCUUAACUGCAUCAUUUAUGUCCAUAAUAACGGCAUCAUCAUUACAGGGCUCAAAUUAAAUUACACCAUAAUUAGCAUAUCAAAGUGAUUGGUUAAAGUUUAAAACAAAUACCCAAUUUUGUUAAUGAACAGCUGUAAUUGUCAUGUACACUUCAGUGAAAACUCUCUAAACAAAUAUAUGUUUUAGAAGGGAGGAAGAUGUUUUUUUUUUUUCAAGCAGACAGGUCUGUAGCAGAGGUAAAUUACCUAAAAAAAGAAUGACAUGGUCUAUUCUAUUAAUGUUAAUAUAUGCUGAUCAUUUUCAGGUAAUAAAGCAUUCUAUCAAAACAAGGCUUCACUUAUAUUUAGACACCUUCCCUGCUCCAGAAUGUGACAAACCACCAGAACCCAGUUUCCACUUGCCGCAAUGAUGGCAACGCAGGGGUGACCUGUCUCGAACAAGCAAAGGACAUGUUCAAUAACAUGCUAUUACGAAACCUCCAUACUUAUUGAAAAGACGUCCAUGCUCAAAUCGCGCCCACUCAAAGCUGAUUUUCUCCGCAUUCCAGCCGAAAGAGGGAAGAGUGACAGAGCCAGAGAACUUUCGGAAUUUACGGGGUAGACCAGAAUGCUCCUAAGUUGAUGACCCUACAACAUGUUAGACAGCCUCCAAUUCAGGCUCCCCUCCUGGAAUCAGAGCGGACCUACACAGCAGUCCCAAACAUGCAGCUGCACUAGGGAAGUUUUCGCUCUUCCAUCAUUAAAAUAAAUCAGGAGACACAACUAGCUGUUCUGUCAGUGUUGGCUAGAGCCAGCAUGCACACGCGUUUUAGAUAUGCAAAACCAGACACGGAUAAUAAGCUUGUUUUCAAACCUUUUUGUUAUAAUCAUUUAAUGUCUGAAGAGUUUCUACACAAGAAUCAAUAAUCUCGAGGCUCACGUGCAAAAAAAGCUCUCCGCCUAAGAUUCUCCCCAUUUCUUACCAACGCACCCCAUAUGUUCUCUGCUAUAUCUGUGAGGGUAACCAUCCACUGUGAUAUACAGCAACGCAAGCCAAAAUAUAUUUUUCCCAAAAAGAAAAAAAAAAAAAAACGCACUUUCAAAUAGACUUAACAAGCAAAUUGAAUGUCUUAUUAAAAUCGUAUUAUCUAAACAGUGUUCAAAAAUUUAAAGAAAGUAGCUUUUCAUUUUAUUCAUCGAGGAAUCCAUUAAAGCUUAGGCUCUGAAGUAGUAUGUAAAUUAUGUGCCUUUCAAGGUAGAGCUAGGGCAAAUUCACUCCAUCAACUAAUGAUGAACCUCAUUAUGUGCAGGGAGGAUUUCAUAAUGAGGAAAGAGCCACCCGCCAUUCCAUGUUCUAACAUAAAUCCCUGUAAAAUUUGAAUAUCUCCCCGUCUAAUUAAAGGCUACUAAUUCCAAUCACCCCCUCCAUGGCCCCAAAGUAAAAAUAAACCUCUUUAAAAGCACAGACUACAGUUAUAUUUCUAAAGCAGCACUCGAUUCUGUUUGGACUCAGAACCUACCACUCAGAUAUGUUUUGCGACAAGCAUAAUUAGCAGCUUUCUAAGAUACAAACUUUGAGGCUGUUCGAGCUCAUUUUGGUUAAAUACACUGGAUUUCUAUUUUUUCAGAGAGCUUCACCUUGACGGGGCUACAGUGCAUGCACAGAAAUGAUCCACAGCCAAGAAACCAACAGGAAUGUGCGAGCGUCGUAAUAACGUAAAAUAAAAUUCUUACACUAGAGUUCCAGGCUGAAGCUGAGAUGUUCAGAAAAAAAAAACAAAAAAACCCAAAAAACCAAAAACAAAAGAAACGCGCGUUGUGGCAUGAACCCGAGAUUACAUUUGGAUGGGGAUGUAUUCAGACCUGCUUGGGAACAACAUACUCGAUUCUGGAACACAACUGCUUACUUUUAAUGCGGUUUGAACUAAUGAACAAGUACAGCCCAGCGUGUCACAAGCCAUAGAGCUAUUCCCUCUUGUAAUCACUGACUUUGAUUUUUUUUUUUUAACCGAACACUACAGAACGCAAACCCAACGUUGCCAAACAUAUUUAUUAUGAUUAAUAGCCUGUAAUAUCUCUCACUAAGGCUUAAUUUGCUCUUGUUUUCAAUUAUGAAUCUGCACUACUCUAUUCCAGUCCCCUUUGCAGGUAGAGAUGAAUUUCUUGUGGUCUUUACUCUUUGUAUUGAACUGCCACCCAGCAAGGCACAAUUAGUUAAAAACAGCAAAUCUCCACCUUGACUCUAUCAGAGCACCAGAUUAGGCGAAAUAAGAGAACCAAAUCAGUGAGAAACAUGUGAAGGUGUCCAGGGAAUUAAAAGCAAUUAGACCAAAGGAAAAAGGAAGAGUCCAUACGCUGGUCACCCACUAACUCACACCUUUACAUUAGAAUUCAAUUAAAAAAAAAAAAAAAAAAAGACAAAGAAAAAAAUAUCCUGGAUCCUUUAUUUAAUUUUGAUAAACUGAAUACACAGAAUCCAAUAAGGAAAUCUUAUCUGCUGUUGUCAAUUCCACUGUCCCCCAAAAGUCUGAACCCCAGUUUGGUAAUGCCAUGUACACACCAGCGUGACACCAGGUGUAGCAUUUCAGGAGCUAACGAGUCCAUUCUACUAGAGAUGCUGCUGCUUUCUAAGUUGCAUAAAAAUAAACUCCACUCCAUAAAAGCUGCCACAGUGCGUGCUCUCUCAUCCCUGGGCUCCAGGCGUGAUCUACACCACCACCCCCCCUGCCUUUUAGGUCAGCCACUCAUGCAUUAGGAAGACAUCCCUCCCAAAAUAACUCGGCCCUCCCCCAAAGCACAGAGUUGAGCAGCCUACCUUUGUUCUGGAGUUGCAGAUAAUAACAGGCAAGCCUCAAGACCAUGAGGAUUUGGAAAAGAUCAGGAGAGUUGAAGAAAAAGAAGAAGGAAAAGAAAUACUCCAAGUAGAGAAGAAUUGGAAGAAACAACAGGAAAACCCUUCUAAUGAACUGUAGUGGCUGCCACAGGAUCGGGGGUGUCUUCACCAGUGUUUACACCAGCCAUGCUGCCAGUAAACUGGGUCUUCGGGGACAUCAGCUAUCCCGGAGAAAGUACUCUGCUCUACCAACUCUAAUCACCCAAGCCAUCUGGAAAAAGAGUGACAUUAUGGAAGAUUUCUUACACAAGAGAAGAAAGCACGUCUCAGUUAUGGACUAGACAAAAUGCCUGGCAUCUCAACAUUUGAAACGUUUGUGAGCAAGCAGCUUGAGAGGGUCGGGAUGACUCAAAACGAAGGUAAAGCAGGAUUUAGAAAUAAUUCGCACCAAGAGCCAAUGAGCCCCCCACCGUCAGCAGUAUGCAGUGAUCACAGAAAACUCUCAUAAAUGCACUUGAAAGAGACUACACCUCCCUUCCAUUCCUGUAAGGGCUUGUCAUAGUUUCAGGGCCAAAAUCUUCCCGCAGCUGACCUUGGACCUACAAACCAUGAGGCAAACCAAAAUGGAGGAAGGGAUCAAAUCAGUCACCAUGCAACUUGGCAACUCCAAUUAUCUUCAAAGUUAGAAACCCAACACCUUUUAUCGUACCGCUACAGUAGUCCCGUAUGCAGCCUGCAGCGCCCUCACGUACAACACACGAAUCAGUGCAACUAUAAACACAUAAAAAUCUGUGCCCCCAAAUGCUCUGCUUAGGGUACAGGAGAAUUAAGACUAUCCCUCUAAAAAAUUUUUUUAAUAAAAUCUUAUAUUCAAUAUUUGUAUUUUGAUUUUAUGACCUUUCUUCACUUUUAUCCUCUUAAAUUCUCCCAUCUUAACAAUCUCCUUUGAGGCUAAUAAAUUUAUGUUUUUAUUCCUAGGUCGUUUAUAGGUUGAUCUCUUGAGGCAAAGAAACAUUGAAUUAUUGGAAUUCAGUGUAGAGAUGCUUCCAGGGUAAAGGCUCUCUGUUUAUUAGCAGAAGAAAUGCAUUCAACUAAUUUGACUUGUAAGUCUGAUAAAAUCUCCCCGGAAAAACUGAUUCUAUUAUGAUGAAUAAUCCUUUGAGGUGAAAAAUGAGAAAUAUACACACUAGGUUUUAUUAUAUAUUAAUUCCAACAGGGUCUGAAACGAAACUCAAGUAAGCCAUCUUUAAGAUGCUGGAAAAUGGCAAACUUCCCUGCAAACUACAUGCAAGAAGUAAUUAAAGUAAAUGAACAUGAAAUUAAACAGCACCCCCAUAAAGUCGGAUAUAAAAGUAAAGAUUAUUAGAAAAAAAAAUUGUCUUCCUCCUCUAUAUUAAUCUCAUGAAUUGUGCGUUUACUCUAUUUCUCUUUUAUUAUUUGAUGACGGGUUUUUAGAGCUUGGGUUUUAUUAGGACUUGCUCGAGGAAGGUCUUCAGUAAGAAGCUAACUACAGGUCUGAGUAUGUUAUUACAUCUUUCCCAGUGACUUAAAUACUAGAUGAAGCCAUACAAGAUAAGGGUGGGCUCAUCAAGCUUGCUGCAAAGCAAAGCUGGAAGGCUUCCGGAUAUCACUGAUGACCACGUGAAGAUCAUCAGAAAGGAGAUUUAAAGCUACAGUAUAUGGGACUUUAUUUAUAGAGAAAAACUCUGCACCUCCUUCAAUAAACUCUACUAUUCAUGUAAAAUUCAGGGACAGCUGGUAUUUGUUGAAUUUUGGGGGCUAUCCAGAAUCCAUUCUUAGUUCAAUUUCUUUUUGGGGAAUUACCACCCUCCCUCGCUGUUCCAGGCAGGGUGGGAAUCCUCAAAGUCCCCUGCCCUCUCAUAGCCAUCAGGUGGCUACGUGAUGCCAAGUAGGCGCAUCUGAUUCAUGCAGAGCAGGCUGAUGUGAGGAUAGAAAAUGUGUGGGGAGGGCUGGUUUUAGCAGUGACAGUGAUGAGCUGGUCAAGUCAUUCAAGCUGCCUGUAUUCGGGAAUUGUCCUGCCUCCUAUCCAUUCCCCAAUUUUUGUCCAUUCUGGAAGCUACUAGCUAUUGCCCCGAUGAAUCCUUGUAAGUUGGCCAGAGGUGAUCUCUGUUGCUUGAAAUCAAAGAAUCAACCAAUAUGAUGGGAUGCGCCUGGCUUGACAUUGGUUCACAGGAGUAAACUGAGCUCACUCAACCCAAGCUCAGUAUAAUUCACCUUAGGUGAUAUUGUGCUCUUCUGCUACAUUCUGGCCAACAGUCAGUAAAGUCAUUAAAGUCCAGUGUCCAAAUCUGCAAAUCGGGAAUCUCUCUUUUCCUGGUCUUGACAGCAUAGUGCUAGAUAGAGAUCACCAAAAAAUACAGAAUGGGUAAAAAGAGGAGGGGAGUGAAAAGAAGUCUGCAGGAUGUGUGUGGCAAGAUGAAGAAAUCUAGCCCUAUGAGCAUUUAUGGAAGGGAUGUGGAUUCUUCACCUGGACUUCUGGGAACCAUAGCAACCACUGUGAUGUAUUCUCAGGUAUCAUGGCAACAAUCACAGGGACUUUACAAUCAGGCAGCUCUGAGUGCUAAUGCGUGUCCUUUCUCUUAGCAGCUGAUUCUGAGGAAGUUACAUCAACUUUCUGGACUUCAGUUUUCUCAUCUGUAAAAUGGAUAGUAUUCACAUCUGUAACUCAUCAACUAGUUGGCAGGAACAAAUGUGAUAAUAAUAUCUAGCAGUCUUGAUGCACAGCAGGCCCUCAACAAAAUGGUCCUCAUUAUUACUGUGCUUCCUAACAUCCGUGGGGCACCCACUAUCUUCCUAAUGUGCUCUGGGGCAAACAAAGUAAGUUACUUAGGCUCUUACCUUCAGGCAAGAAUGUGUCGCUUUCAAGCCUGAAAAGAACACACUAAAAUACAGAGCAGACUCGAACAAAGGUUAUAAUGAAAUACAAACACACACUUGUGGGAGUCCAGACAAAGGAGUGAGUCAUACAGGCUGGGCUAGGUUGAAAGGCUCCAUAGAAGUGAUAUCUGAGCCAAGCCUCGAAGGAUGAGUAGGAUGUUAAUAGGUAAGGGAGGAAGGAAGAAAGAAAGAAAGAAAAAAAAAAAAAAAAAAAAAAAAGGAAGGCCUGGCAUGGCACCCAAAGUUGAAGGAAGCAAUAACAUGAGCUGCACAAGUUCAAGGGCAGGACAAAAACAAAGGGUAGAAUAAGCCAUCUGAUAUAAGCUCCAUAAGACCGGGAACCAAGUUGGAAUCUGUCAUUCCUAGGACUAUCCUUAACUCCUAGAGGAGGGCCAGUCCCAUAAGAGGCUCUCAAUUAUUCUGUGGAAGGUUACAGUAGAAUAACAAAAGACGGGCGCAAUGAGGCUAAGGUAGGAAGAGCCUUGAAGGCCACACCAAGGAGCCAAGUCUUCCUUCUACAGUUGGGAAGGCAAUGAUAAGAAGGACAGAAAGCAGGAGGCUGACUUUAGGAGUGAAAUAAAUAGGGCUUGAUGCUUGGAAGGAUGGGGGAGGGGAACGCAAAAGACAAGAGAGUUCUAAGUAGGCUUUAGUCUGGGAACUAAAUUUUUUGAACUGAAAUGUUUCUGUGUCCACAACUAUCAAUGGUACUACCCUCAAAGUGGAUUUUGACCACAGGGAAACCUUUCUGUCCACAGUUCCGAGAAUGGAAUGAGCUGCCCCAUGAGGGAGUGACCAUGUCUUUCAAAGCCUGCUGUCAGAAACAAGAAGAUCCCAGGUUUAAAGCCAAAUGCACCGUGUGACCUUGCAGAGGCUACUUCAUCACCUCUUUGUGUCUUAAUUUUAUUACCUAUAAAAUGGAGUCAACAGCAGUACAUCUUUAUAAGGUUGUUAGGAGGACUCAAAGAGAAGAUCUACACGAAGGAUUCAGAAUGGGUCCCGGCACAUACGAACCGUUCCAUGAAUGAUACCGACUAUUAUUCCUGUUGUGUCUCUGUUAUCUACCAAGGAUGGUGAAGACCGAGUCUCAGGGUCUAAAUGACUGACUUCCCAAGUGUGUGAUGCUUAUAUCGGAAGAAAAGUAAACCCCGCAGCAUCAGGUGAGAGGGGCAGACUCCAGUCAACUGUCAGUUUCCUACAGAUGGACUAGGCGGUUCGUGGGUGAACGAGUGUACGAAGAAAAACUGAUAUAGGUUUGAGAUGAAACGAAAAUGCCUACAAGUUAAUAAAACAUCUAUAUUCAAGAUGGCGUCACUCGGCGUGAACUAACUACAUAUUAACCAACAGCCGCCACAGGGAGUGCUUCCUUCUGUGGACUCAGCCUGUGACGUAUGUCCAUGUCCCUUAGGAAAAGGGGAGCCCAGUCACCCUCACACGUAAGCAACUUUGUGGGGGGCAACCAUGAGAGUCCCGCUAGGGUCUCAAGAUGCCACUCCACUAGGUGGGAGAGGUGGGGGGCAGGCAGUAGGGAACAACUAAGGGCACUUGGUAACAUUUAGGGAAAGGGGAAGGGAUGCAGAGAAGAAACUGGCACAACAUGCUUUUUGUUGCUGCUGUUUUAAAGCUGAGGUCCUUUUUGGCCAUGUUUUGCCAAACGUUUGCAAUGGCUCAUUUUUGUCACUACUCUUCAUCUUUGCAUUUUACACUUUUGGCUGAAGUCUGGUAAGCAUUCAUACAUUCUUAAAUGCCGUAUGCAAUGUUAAGUAAUUUAUUUAGAUUAAUUUCUUAACCCACAAUUUGAGUCAUCUUAAGACUGACACUCGAAGGACAGUGAAUAGUAUGAAAGCACAACGUGAGGCAAAAAUAAUUAAAAGGUGACUCAAGUUUUGGCUGUGACCUGCAUGGGUGAUUAGCAAGGAUGAAAAAAGAAACAUUCUUGAAAAUCAAAAUGUACAAUUCAGUUGAUAUACUUUAUUUCCGGAUUGAGGAUAUAAGCAAGAAUGUGCCUUCACACAGGAAACUGACACUGAGUACCUUCCCUGGGUCACCUUAUAUUUGAAAUGAAACCUGUCGUUCUUGGGGCAAUAAUGUCUCCUAGAGGAGUCGAUGGGCAGGGGUGCAGCACUGGAGGUGUGGCAUCAUUCCCAUCUGUAGGUGGCUGCAGACCUGCCAGAGGUGGUAAAAGGACCCUUGAGAGAAUCCUUGGAGGCAAUUAUGCCUUGGAGGCAAUAUGCCUCCAGCUUUCUAUGUAUUAAACAGCAGAAGGGACCAGAAGGUAAGGGGGGAUAGCUGCUUUAGAAUUUAGCUUUCCACCAUAUCCCACCUGCCCUUUUCCGAAGUGCAAAUUUCUUUGUUUUGAAGUCUGGUUAUUUAUUUUGGGAGAAAGAGAACGCGCAGGUGGGGGAGGGGUGGAAAGAGGCUCCAAGCAGUCGAUGCAGAACCCAAGGAGCCCAACACAGGGCUCAAUCCCACAACCGCUGGGAUCACGACCUGAACAGAAAUCAGGAGUCAGUUAAGCGACUGAGCCACACAGGCACCCCGCCAAGGUGGAAAUUUCUAAUAAAGUAUGGAAUUUGUUAACCCAUUAAUUACAUUUCCUUCUUUUGGGUGUUCUGUUAAGUGAAGUAGGAGUUCCCCCAGGCACACGACAGUGAAACAGAGGAGCCCCUGAUAACCUAAGAAAGAAGGUAGAAGAUUAUACAACCUACUAUCUAUACCUUUUACAGUAAUAGAGGUCCCUCGCAAAGCUGUCGUGUAGUCGCAGUAACUAUGUUACAACACGUUAAGUUUUAGACCGUAUUCCAUAUUUAAUAAGUCUGUUUAGAUAAUGCCACUUUUUAUAAAUUAUCAGUGAAGUUUUCAACACAAUAGAAAAACACCUUAUUUUUAAAAACCUAGUUUUCAGGGCACCAAGGUGCCAGAGUCAGUUAAGCGUCCAACCUCGGCUCAGGUCAUGAUCUCGUGGUUCGUGAGUUUGAGCCCUGCGUCAGGCUCUGGGCUCACCUCUCAGAGCCUAGAGCCUGCUUCAGAUUCUGUGUCUCCCUCUCUCUCUGGCCCUCCCCUGUUUGUGUGUGCUGUCUCACACACACUCUCUCUCUCUCUCUCAAAAAUAAAUAUUAAAAAAAAACAAAACAAAAAGGCUAAUUUUCUUUAGACUUUAGUUUCCAGUUCUGCACUCUG